rnacentral:lncRNA from 1 species
AACAAGCAUUGCUAUUGAUCAUAUCUGAGAUCAUAUCCACCUGGCUGAAUUCCCCUAAGGUCAUUUUGCAUCCUUCUUCCUCCCUUCCUUGAAGAAGCCAUUAGCCACUGACCUGAUAUAGCUGGAUAGGUGAAAGCAAAGGGCUACGUAGGCUACAUUAUGGAUCUUGGUGAAAAAAGUAUGAAUACCAUAGGUCGAGGAUUGGGUUAAAUGUGGAAGACACACUUUGGUUGAAUGCAUUCAGUUGUGCAACUGACUAGGCAUCCCCUUCCCCUUUCCUAUCAUGUCAGAGCAGUUAGUAGGCUUGGCCUACUUCAAGGAGAGGAAGAAAGGCCCUGAGUGGCUGCUGUAGUUUCCUGUGUGUCAGACUUCCAGUAAUGUUAAGUGUCACUUUUACCUCCCCAUGCCGUCACAGUGUGUGUCAACACGCUUUCUUCUGACACUUAACGGCAUCAAGCCCAAACCAAGGAGUAUAUUCAGCGAAACACAAGCGGUUUGCAAUGGUGCAAUGUUUGGUGUUCACACUGCUCUGGGUCUGUGCUGUGGCACUGCAUUCCCUUGGGAGUACAGAGAGAGUAUCUCAAACGACUGAGCCAAGUGUCUCUAGGAGCACAGACCCGACGGCUGAGACAGUUACUUUAGGACCAGUUGAGACCCAAAGCCUUGAUACACACACACACCAGAGGCUAGAAGAAGAACAAGAACCACUUCCCUCAGACCCCUGUCAGGAUGACGAGUUUGAUAAGAGGGUGUACCAGAGGGAUUCUAAUGGUGUUAUGCAGCUGAUUCAGGGAGAGGACUACAAAAAGACUUGCAACUUAUCAGACACUCCAGGUGAACAGGCCCACUGUCUUAUCUACCCUACCAAUCAACUCAACUGCUCCUGGAAUUUCCACGGUCUCCCUAACUACAGCCAAUACUAUGCCUCCGUCUUUGUGUGUAAGAAAACUAAGAGAAUCUCCAGUGUGGACUGUGUCACUGAGGCCAUAGGAGGCCAAGGAGCCCAGGGAGGGACUGGUAAGGCUGACCGUGUGGUUGGACAUGUGUCUGCUGGGUGCCAAGGCAGUGUGGACAACAACGCCACCUCGGUGAUCCUGACUUUCAACGUGUCAUGCUCUGACGUGUGGGGCAUCUACACCCAUAAAUACCAGACCUAUGAUAUUGAUGUGCUGUGCCCGCCCCCCAACAUCAACCCAGCCUGGGUCAGAGAGGGGGCUCUGCUGGUGCAGUGGGGUCUCCCGUCCACCCGGUUAAAAACCAAAUCCAGCUGCUUCCACUACCAGCUACAGAUCAAUGACCAGGUGAGGGACUUUAAGGGGGGAGUGACAUACAAUGAGACCAACGCAGACCCCACACAUUCAUACGAUGUGAAGAUGAGGGUGAGGAAGAGUAGUAGCUGCAGAGGAUCUCAACACUGGAGCAGCUGGAGCAACACCACCAAGGUGGCCCCGUUUGAAUCUCCCAAUCAGCUGAACUCUCUGGUGGUCGUUGGCAUCGCUCUGGGAAUACCAAUGAUCCUCCUGUCUCUGCUGCUGCUGAUUCGACUCCAGAGGGAACGUCUGUUUCCCCACAUCCCUGGUCCCCCACUGAAGAUUAAACACCUCUUGGAGAGAGACGACCAGUUUCAGUUUGUCCCUCAGGCCCUGCAGUCCAAAUUUGUUGAGGAGAUCACAGUGGUGGAAGAAGCUAAGGAAACACCUGUGAAUUUGGCCAGUUAA